UUAGGAAUUCCCUUUCGUGGGGGUAACCAUCGGAUCGUCGGUAAACGCACGAACCCUCGGGUAAGUGGGUUUCAGUCGCGCCGAAGAAUGCCCAAUGAGACAGUAGUCGUGAGGAAGGCUACCAAGGCGACGAUCUUAGCCGUUUGAGAGGAGAUCAGCCACACUGGGAUGAGAACGGCCCAGAUCCCACGGGAGGCAGCAGUGGGGAUAUUGCACAAUGGGGGCAACCCUGAUGCAGCCACGCCGCGUGUGUGAAGAAGGCCUUCGGGUUUAAAGCAUUCUCAGUGGUGAGGAAGGUGUGUAGUUAUAGCCGCAUGCCGUGACGUUAGCCACAGAAGAAGCACCGGCUAACUCCGUGCCAGCAGCCGCGGUAAUACGGAGGGUGCGAGCGUUAAUCGGAAUCACUGGGCGUAAAGCGCACGCAGGCGGAUACUUUAAGCUAGAUGUGAAAGCCCCGGGCUUCAACCUUGGGACGGUCAUUUUAGAAACUUGGGUAUCUAGAGUCUUUGGAGAGGGGAGUGGAAUUUCCAGGUGUAGCGGUGAAAUGCGUAGAUAUCUGGAGGAACAUCAGUGGCGAAGGCGACUCCCUGGCCAAUGACUGACGCUCAUGUGCGAAAGUGUGGGUAGCG
rnacentral:rRNA from 1 species